GAUGAAGAACGCAGCGAAAUGCGAUACUUGGUGUGAAUUGCAGAAUCCCGUGAACCAUCGAGUCUUUGAACGCAAGUUGCGCCCGAAGCCUCGGCUAAGGGCACGUCUGCCUGGACGUCACGCAUCGCGUCUCCCCCAAACCGCCAAGGCGGAGGGGAAGGAAGAUGGCUUCCCGUGCCUCACCCGGCGCGGUUGGCCUAAAUUUGGAGCCCGCGGCACUUAGCUCUCGCGGCGAUAGGUGGUGAACAAGGCCUUGGCCGUGCAAACAACCCGCUGCGAAGCUCUAUGUCACGUGCGCUCGUCGGACCCUUUGAAGUUGCCUUCGGUGACUUAAAACCUUUGCGACCCCAGGUCAGGCGGGGCUACCCGCUGAAUUUAAGCAUAUCAAUAAGCGGAGGA
rnacentral:misc_RNA from 1 species